rnacentral:rRNA from 1 species
UUGCCAGCCCGCUCAGAACUCAAGGAAUUCGACGGGGCCCGCACAAGCGGUGGAGUAUGUGGUUUAAUUCGAUGCAACGCGAAGAACCUUACCUGGUCUUGACAUCCCGGAGACCCUUAGGAAACUAGGGGGUGCUUCCAUCUGGAAGAAUCUGGAGACAGGUGCUGCAUGGCUGUCGUCAGCUCGUGUCGUGAGAUGUUGGGUUAAGUCCCGCAACGAGCGCAACCCUUGCCUUUAGUUGCCAUCAGUUCGGCUGGGCACUCUAUGGAGACUGCCACCUAAAGUGGAGGAAGGUGGGGAUGACGUCAAGUCAGCAUGGCCCUUACGUCCGGGGCUACACACGUGCUACAAUGGCCGGUACAAAGGGUUGCGAAGCCGUGAGGUGGAGCGAAUCUCAAAAAGCCGGCCUCAGUUCGGAUUGGAGGCUGCAACUCGCCUCCAUGAAGUCGGAAUCGCUAGUAACCGCAGAUCAGCUACGUUGCGGUGAAUACGUUCCCGGGCCUU